AUUGAACGCUGGCGGCAGGCCUAACACAUGCAAGUCGAACGGAUGAAGGGAGCUUGCUCCUGGAUUCAGCGGCGGACGGGUGAGUAAUGCCUAGGAAUCUGCCUGGUAGUGGGGGAUAACGUCCGGAAACGGGCGCUAAUACCGCAUACGUCCUGAGGGAGAAAGUGGGGGAUCUUCGGACCUCACGCUAUCAGAUGAGCCUAGGUCGGAUUAGCUAGUUGGUGGGGUAAAGGCCUACCAAGGCGACGAUCCGUAACUGGUCUGAGAGGAUGAUCAGUCACACUGGAACUGAGACACGGUCCAGACUCCUACGGGAGGCAGCAGUGGGGAAUAUUGGACAAUGGGCGAAAGCCUGAUCCAGCCAUGCCGCGUGUGUGAAGAAGGUCUUCGGAUUGUAAAGCACUUUAAGUUGGGAGGAAGGGCAGUAAGUUAAUACCUUGCUGUUUUGACGUUACCAACAGAAUAAGCACCGGCUAACUUCGUG
rnacentral:rRNA from 1 species